CAGCUACUCCCUCCGUUCGGAAAUACUUGUCCUAGAAAUGGUUGUAUGUAGACUUAUUUUAGUUCUAGAUACAACCAUUUCUAAGACAAGUAUUUCCGAACGGAGGGAGUAGAUG
rnacentral:pre_miRNA from 1 species